GAAAAUAUAUCAAAGGCAAAGCAAGAAAGCAGGCAGAAAGACAGGUUAGAGGAAGCUUGUUGUAGUGCUUUAGAAAAAAACCAAUACCUUAACUAUGGUAUUGGCAGAAGGGAAGUUUGGUUCAAAGCGUCUGAACCAGUUAGGAGGAGAUUACCUCAGUCCUCCAGGGAAGAAAUGAUGUCAUGAACCAAGGAGGUGGAUUUAAGAGAAUUAAUCUCUCUCCAUUUCUAUCCAACAUGCCAAUUUUUCUGAAUUUUUCCUUCUAAUAUAAGACAUGUGAAUAUAAACCUGUUAGCUUUCUGGUUCCAUGGACUAGGAAAAUGUUGUCUAAUGUUAUUUUCAUUUGUGGUUAUCCUAAAUUAAGAUCUCUAUGUUAUGUGCAUUUUAAAACGUAUCUUUUAUCAACUGCUACCUGGAAGUACAUGCUUUAAAAUAAUGUAAUGGUCAGUCUGAUCCCUGGUGAGUCAACUUCUUAAAUGGAUGAGAGCAGCUGGUAGAGUAAAGAGCUUGAAGAAUGAUCCUCCUAAAAUGUAAGUCAAAUCAUCUCACUCUUCCUCAAAAUUCUUCCGUUCUCCCCAUCUUGCUCUGAGUAAAAGUCAGUCUUUACAAUGACCCACAAGACCGAGAGCAGACUCCCAACUCUCUGACCUCAAUUCAAUUCCUUCUACUCUUUCCCCGUCACUCAUUUCAGGGCAGCCACGCUCAUCUCCUUCUGAACCUCAAAGACUCGGGGGAAGCUCGCUCGGACUUUGAGCACUUGCUCUUCUUGUUUUCCCAAGUUAUCUUCCUGGCUUGUCCCCUCACCUCCCUCAAUUCAGGUCUUUUCCUUCCCUUAUCACUUUACUAAAAAAUAAAAUAUUCUUCCCACUCUCAGUACUCUCUUCACAGCUUAUAUUUUUCUUAACACUCACCACAAUCUAACAGACUUACUAUUUUACUUCUCUUGUCUAUUUUCUAUCCACAACUAGAAAGCAAGUCCUACAAUGGCAGAAGAUUUUGAUGUUUUGCUGUGUCUCUAGUACCUAGAACAGUGUCAGGCACAUGGUAGAAACUCAGUGACUAUUUGCCCAGUGAAUAAAUUGCUAUUUCAGUGUGACCAUCAGUCAUGCAAACAUGGUGUUCCAAGACCUCACCGAUUGACAAACAAAAUCAUUACCAUGGAAAGAACCCUGCAGCCAGUUAUUGUUUUUUCCACCAGGAAGCCUCUGGCAAAGUCAGAUAUAGUCUGAACUGUUUCCAUCAACACAGACUUUUGUAUAAAGCACUAUAAUCAGGGCAUGUUUUCUAAGAAAAUUAAUUUAUAGCCAAUCUUCACCUGAUCCUUAAUGACUAUCAAGCCGUAUUAAAUUCUUUAGCAUAACAGAGAAUGUGUGCUUAUUCAAAACUGCAACUUUCAAUUAUAUCCGGUAGCAACAAAAUGCUCUUUGUUCAUUACUAUAGAGAAAGGUUUUUGCUGAGAGUGAUUCCAUUGCCUUCAGUUUUAUAGUUAAACAUCUUCGAGGCUUCACUUGAAGAUGACCGUGUCAGCCAAAGCAAUCACCACAAUUAACAAAACCAAAUUACUGGGUAAUGUUUCUAAAGACUUUUUUCACGCUCUUUAGUUUUGGAAGGUUUAUAUUUCUACUUCAUUUUGUAAUACAUAAAUGAUUGCUUAUUGUUUAAAAAAAUCAAUUACUACAGACAUAGAUUGAGUUUAAAAGAACAAAUUUACCUUCAACCUUCUCACCAAUUCCACUCUCUUCCCCACAAUAACAAAAGUUAGCAGUUUGCCAUGUAUUUUGUGUACCUCUUUCUAUCCAUUUACACAAAGAUGCACCUGUAGAGUUUUAGUAUUGGAAGAUUAAAAUUUUACAUACAUAUCUGGUAAAGUACUCUCUUUACCUAACAAUGUGCAUUGAACAGUUUUCCACAUCAGUGCAUACCGAGUUCAGUGAUCGUAUUUUCAGGUUUAUCCAAUUAUUCAUAGUGCCAUCUUUCACUAUUAAAAGUAACUUCUUUUGGACAAUAAAUUAUAUGGUCCCCAAUAGAAAGUUAUCUGAUUAAUGAAUUCAUAACAGUCUAUAAAACCAUAAUUUUUAUAAUCAUUGCCUUAAAAAUGAACAUUCAGAUAUAGCCUUUUUUGGUAUCAUGAACAAGACUGCAAGGAACAUUGAUAUACAUAUAUAUUUGUGCAUGUGUAUGAAUAUAUUACAGGAUAAAUUCUGUAAGUCCAAUUGUGAGGUUAAAGGAUAUAUACAUUUAAAAUUUUAAUAUACUCUCAAAUUGUUCUCUAAAAAGCAAUAUUGUUUUAUACUUCCAUCAGUAGCAC
rnacentral:lncRNA from 1 species